rnacentral:rRNA from 1 species
UACGAGGGGGGCAAAUGUUGUUCGGAAUCACUGGGCGUAAAGGGAGCGUAGGCGGGUUAACAAGUCACUUGUGAAAUCUCCGGGCUUAACCCGGAGCGGCCAAGUGAUACUGUCGUGCUAGAGUGCGGAAGGGGCUACUGGAAUUCUCGGUGUAGCGGUGAAAUGCGUAGAUAUCGAGAGGAACACCUGCGGCGAAGGCGGGUAGCUGGGCCGACACUGACGCUGAGGCGCGAAAGCCAGGGGAGCGAACGGG